UACGUAGGGUGCGAGCGUUAAUCGGAAUUACUGGGCGUAAAGCGUGCGCAGGCGGCUUCGCAAGUCAGACGUGAAAUCCCCGGGCUUAACCUGGGAAUGGCGUUUGAAACUACGGAGCUGGAGUGCGGCAGAGGAGACUGGAAUUCCUGGUGUAGCAGUGAAAUGCGUAGAUAUCAGGAGGAACACCGAUGGCGAAGGCAGGUCUCUGGGCUGACACUGACGCUCAUGCACGAAAGCGUGGGGAGCAAACAGG
rnacentral:rRNA from 1 species